UUCUCAGCCCCAUGGAACAAAGAAAUCUUAUUUGAUUGUGCUUCAAAUCCCAGUGUGCCAUGGAUAAAGUAUCCCUGGUUAUUAAUUCAACAGUAAGUAAGCUCAUCUUGGAGGUCACCAGGUUCCAAGGAAGAGAAUCAGAAGUGUCAAGUAGAGUCAAUGGAAAAUAGACAAAAUGGGGAAGGAAAAGCUCUAAUCAGAUUCUAGUCCAGAACACUGUCCAGAACGCAUGUUCAUACUGAGAUCAAAUGAGACGUUUACCUUCUUUUCUCCUUAUUAUGCAAAUGGCCAUGUGUACAAUUUGGUGGAGGAGAGCCUUCUUAUGUAGCCCAGGCUGGAUUGGAUGGAACCAACUAUCCCCCAGCUUCUGCUCCUAUUAAAUAUACUUCCAUCUUCUCUCCCUUUUUAUCUAUGUAUUAAGGCCUUACAGCACUGUUACCAGCGCUUACUCCUGAUUUUUGGUCACCUUCAAAACUAUUGAAGCAGUUGUAUCAAGAGGCUUCAGUUCAACCUGUCAACUUAUACAUCCGAUGUACCUUUAUCAGAAUUACCCCUUCCAAUGUUCUGGCCACUUCUACUCUACUUCCUUUUAUUCUGGCUGUUCUCCAGUCAACUCUAUAGCCCCGCUCUAAUAAUUCUUUACUAAUCACUACCUGACCCAAACUUCUCUGAACAUCUCCCAAUUCACUCACAAAGAACAAUUACUUAGUAUAGGCAUCUUGGAGUCUCAGGAGACCUACACUAUGCCAAGGGGA